GUGAAUCAUCGAAUCUUUGAACGCAUAUUGCACUUUCUGGUAUUCCGGAGAGUAUGCCUGUUCGAGGGUAAUUAAAAAGAAUCUUCAACCAAUUUUUUUUGGUCAAAGGACAUGAGUUCUCGGCGUGUAUAGCGUUAGCGUGAAAUAAAUGGUCAAGUCUCAUUUUAGUCGAGACGCGUAUUAAUAUUAUUACGCUAAAUCUUCAUUAUGUGACUAUCUAUUUUUGAUGCAUACAAAUUU
rnacentral:misc_RNA from 1 species